rnacentral:rRNA from 1 species
CCUACGGGUGGCAGCAGUCGGGACUAUUGCGCAAUGGAGGAAACUCUGACGCAGUGACGCCGCGUAUAGGAAGAAGGUUUUCGGAUUGUACACUAUUGUCGUUAGGGAAGAUAAAAGACUGUACCUAAGGAGGAAGCCCCGGCUAACUAUGUGCCAGCAGCCGCGGUAAUACAUAGGGGGCAAGCGUUAUCCGUAAUUAUUGGGUGUAAAGGGUGCGUAGACGGAAGAACAAGUUGGUUGUGAAAUCCCUCGGCUCAACGGAGGAACUGCAACCAAAACUAUUCUCCUUGAGUGUCGGAGAGGAAAGUGGAAUUCCUAGUGUAGCGGUGAAAUCCGUAGAUAUCUGGAGGAACAUCAGUGGCGAAGGUGACUAUCUGGCACAUAACUGACGCUGAGGAGCGAAAGCGUGGGUAGCAAACAGGAUUAGAUACCCGUGUAGUC